ACUACCAUUUUGGAUUAGAGCCACUACACCGAAUCCCACUUUACCUCCGAUCAGUAAUAAGCAGUUUUAUGACAAAUUCAAACAAAUUCCUGCAAUAAAUGUGACAGCAGAUAAAAUUGUAAAGAAAUUCUUUCGUCUGCCGUCUUCUCUCCUAAAUAAACGAAGAGUUUAUCUUCAAGACACUGCUGUUGUAAUGGAUUCAUCUGGUUCCAUUGGAGAUUGUGAGUACAAGAAGGGAAAACAGGCAAUGAAAAAUAUGAUGAAUAUAAAAUUA